AAAAGCUGAUUCUGAGUCACUUUGCCAAGGAAGCAUGAUGUGAUUACAUUUGAAAUGCUAUGGUCAUCUUACAUCCUCUGAGACUGUGUUCCAGAAAUGGCCUUAGUACUAAGCUGUGAGAAAAGCCGUGGAUCUGCCAAAGGUUACGUAUGCUGGAAGAAGACACUUGCUCUGUGACUGCACCCUCCCAGAUUUUGGAAGAGCACUUGCUGUCAUGGACAAAUGAAAUUACAUGGACAUUUAAAAGAGUUAUAAAUCUGACUUCUAAAAGGAGUUUCAGGCAAAUGAUAGUAUAA
rnacentral:lncRNA from 1 species